rnacentral:lncRNA from 1 species
GUCAGCACAGCCCAGUGCAUGAUUUAAAAUCCUGGUUUUCCUCUUUGCACAAAAGAGUUUGGACAAAACAAAGCUGGGAUGAGCAAGGUCAUGGACUUCUCUACCCUACUGGCCAACAUAUAGGCGAUAAAGGCAAAAUAGAGACUGGCUGUCCAAAGCUUUGUGGACCGUGGGAAGUGAUGUUGCCAAGGUGAUGAUUUGGAACCAGACCGGAGAAGCUGGUGCUAACAAGGACAGGAGACCCAAGGAACAUUUCCUGAAAGGGAAGAGAGAAACUCAAAGGGAAUUCACCAGCAGUUGAAAGUGACAGUAAGCAGUCUAGAAAAUGUGGACAAGAUGGAGGAAAGGAAAGAGUGAAGGGAAGAAGGGAGAGUAGAAAGGAAAACCAAGAUAACUUUCCUCAUGUCCUGAAUCUGAUGAGCUCAGACUGUCUGGCACAUGCCCUUCAGAUACAAAGACUCCUGAAGGCUUGGGAGGGAGCGAGGACAUGGCUGAGCAAGGAAGAAAGGGAAGGGGACAACAGGAUUUUUAUGAAGGAGUGAAAAGGAAGGACAAUUUGAGAACAUGACCUGUCUUCCUUCUCUGACAUGGAGGCUGGUGAAAGUGAAUCAUCACUGAACAAAUUCUUGCUAAGUUAAAAACAAAUUAAAAUCGCCAUCUAAUGUGGGUAAAGAGAUGCAACUAGCUAACUGCGUGGGUGUGGAUUUCCCACAUGGCCCCUGAAAGCACUGCUUUGGACAGGGCUCCUACCCCAUAAAGCUUAUUUUUCAGUCAUUUUUAGAACUUGCAUCAGUUCAACUGUUUUUAGAUAGGUUUGUGGGUUGUUUUUUCUUUAAAAGUCUACACAAAGCAGCCUGUGGAAAUGUCAGAGGCAUGUGAACCAGAACAACUCCAUCUUUAAUAGGAGCUGGGUAAAGUGAGGCUGACACCUACUGGGCUGCAUUCCCAGGUGGUUAAGGCAUUCUAAGUCACAGGAUGAGAUAGGAGGUCAGCACAAAGUACAGGUCAUGAAGACCUUGCUGAUAAAACAGGUUGCAGUUAAGGAGCUGGCCAAAACCCACCAAAACCAAAAUAGUGACGAGAGUGACCUCUGGGCAGCCUCACUGUUACACUCCCACCAGCGCCAUGACAGUUUAAAAAAUGCCAUAGCAACGUCAGGAGCCCUAUGUGGUCUAAAUAGGGGAGGCAUGAAUAAUCCAUCCCUUGUGUAGCAUAUCAUCA